rnacentral:rRNA from 1 species
UACGGAAGGCAGCAGUGGGGAAUAUUGCACAAUGGGCGCAAGCCUGAUGCAGCCAUGCCGCGUGUAUGAAAAAGGCCUUCGGGUUGUAAAGUACUUUCAGUCGUGAGGAAGGUGUUAAGGUUAAUAACCUUAGCAAUUGACGUUAGCGACAGAAGAAGCACCGGCUAACUCCGUGCCAGCAGCCGCGGUAAUACGGAGGGUGCGAGCGUUAAUCGGAAUUACUGGGCGUAAAGGGCACGCAGGCGGUUAAUUAAGUUGGAUGUGAAAUCCCCGGGCUUAACCUGGGAAUGGCAUUCAAGACUGGUUAGCUAGAGUCUUGUAGAGGGGGUAGAAUUCCGAUGUGUAGCGGUGAAAUGCGUAGAGAUGUGGAGGAAUACCGGUGGCGAAGGCGGCCCCUGGACAAAGACUGACGCUCAUGUGCGAAAGCGUGGGGAGCAAACAGGGAUUAGAUACCCGU